UUUUAAAGAGAGUUUGAUCCUGGCUCAGGACGAACGCUGGCGGCGUGCCUAAUACAUGCAAGUCGAACGAACUGACGAAAAGC
rnacentral:rRNA from 1 species